rnacentral:rRNA from 1 species
GCGGCCUAUCAGCUUGUUGGCGGGGUAAUGGCCCACCAAGGCAACGACGGGUAGCUGGUCUGAGAGGAUGGUCAGCCACACUGGGACUGAGACACGGCCCAGACUCCUACGGGAGGCAGCAGUGGGGAAUCUUGGGCAAUGGAGGGAACUCUGACCCAGCGACGCCGCGUGCGGGAUGAAGGCCUUCGGGUUGUAAACCGCUUUCAGCAAGGAAGAAGCGAAAGUGACGGUACUUGCAGAAGAAGCACCGGCUAACUAUGUGCCAGCAGCCGCGGUAAUACAUAGGGUGCAAGCGUUGUCCGGAAUUAUUGGGCGUAAAGAGCUCGUAGGUCGUUUGUCGCGUCGAUUGUGAAAAUCUGAGGCUCAACCUCAGACCUGCAGUCGAUACGGGCAAACUAGAGUGUGGUAGGGGAGACUGGAAUUCCU